CAAAGGCUCUUCCAGCCUCUUUCAGUGGAGGACACCUGCCCAGUGCUAGGCUCUGAGGACAUGAAGAUGGAGGAGGACCUGGCCCCAACUUCAAGGAGCUCACGAUUUAACUCAGAAACUCAGGGCUGAAGAUGGAGGGGGCCACAUAAGAAGGAAUGCAGGCUGCC